rnacentral:rRNA from 1 species
GUCGAGCGGACAGAAGGGAGCUUGCUCCCGGAUGUUAGCGGCGGACGGGUGAGUAACACGUGGGUAACCUGCCUGUAAGACUGGGAUAACUCCGGGAAACCGGAGCUAAUACCGGAUAGUUCCUUGAACCGCAUGGUUCAAGGAUGAAAGACGGUUUCGGCUGUCACUUACAGAUGGACCCGCGGCGCAUUAGCUAGUUGGUGGGGUAAUGGCUCACCAAGGCGACGAUGCGUAGCCGACCUGAGAGGGUGAUCGGCCACACUGGGACUGAGACACGGCCCAGACUCCUACGGGAGGCAGCAGUAGGGAAUCUUCCGCAAUGGACGAAAGUCUGACGGAGCAACGCCGCGUGAGUGAUGAAGGUUUUCGGAUCGUAAAGCUCUGUUGUUAGGGAAGAACAAGUGCGAGAGUAACUGCUCGCACCUUGACGGUACCUAACCAGAAAGYCACGGCUAACUACGUGCCAGCAGCCGCGGUAAUACGUAGGUGGCAAGCGUUGUCCGGAAUUAUUGGGCGUAAAGGGCUCGCAGGCGGUUUCUUAAGUCUGAUGUGAAAGCCCCCGGCUCAACCGGGGAGGGUCAUUGGAAACUGGGAAACUUGAGUGCAGAAGAGGAGAGUGGAAUUCCACGUGUAGCGGUGAAAUGCGUAGAGAUGUGGAGGAACACCAGUGGCGAAGGCGACUCUCUGGUCUGUAACUGACGCUGAGGAGCGAAAGCGUGGGGAGCGAACAGGAUUAGAUACCCUGGUAGUCCACGCCGUAAACGAUGAGUGCUAAGUGUUAGGGGGUUUCCGCCCCUUAGUGCUGCAGCUAACGCAUUAAGCACUCCGCCUGGGGAGUACGGUCGCAAGACUGAAACUCAAAGGAAUUGACGGGGGCCCGCACAAGCGGUGGAGCAUGUGGUUUAAUUUCGAAGCAACGCGAAGAACCUUUACCAGGUCUUGACAUCCUCUGACAACCCUAGAGAUAGGGCUUUUCCCUUUCGGGGGACAGAGUUGACCAGGUGGUGCCAUGGUUGUCGUCAGCUCGUGUCGUGAGAUGUUGGGUUAAGUCCCGCAACGAGCGCAACCCUUGAUCUUAGUUGCCAGCAUUCAGUUGGGCACUCUAAGGUGACUGCCGGUGACAAACCGGAGGAAGGUGGGGAUGACGUCAAAUCAUCAUGCCCCUUAUGACCUGGGCUACACACGUGCUACAAUGGACAGAACAAAGGGCUGCAAGACCGCAAGGUUUAGCCAAUCCCAUAAAUCUGUUCUCAGUUCGGAUCGCAGUCUGCAACUCGACUGCGUGAAGCUGGAAUCGCUAGUAAUCGCGGAUCAGCAUGCCGCGGUGAAUACGUUCCCGGGCCUUGUACACACCGCCCGUCACGACCACGAGAGUUUGCAACACCCGAAGUCGGUGAGGUAACCUUUAUGGAG